rnacentral:rRNA from 1 species
CCGGCGACCGGCGCACGGGUGAGUAACACGUAUGCAACCUGCCCUCUUCAGGGGGACAACCUUCCGAAAGGGAGGGCUAAUCCCGCGUAUAUCGGUUUCGGGCAUCCGAGAUCGAGGAAAGAUUCAUCGGAAGAGGAUGGGCAUGCGGCGCAUUAGCUAGACGGCGGGGUAACGGCCCACCGUGGCGACGAUGCGUAGGGGUUCUGAGAGGAAGGUCCCCCACACUGGUACUGAGACACGGACCAGACUCCUACGGAAGGCAGCAG